GUGUAUAUAUAACGCCUAUAAGUUAUGCAAUCAAAGCGUGCUGUGCCGCUUGACCUUAUUCACCUUAUUCACCACACAAUCUAUCACGAACACUAUAAAUAACCCUAUCCAUGGAUCGCAUCACCGACCCAACGGUGACUCCCAGAUCUCCCAUCCUUUCCGUCUAACAAAUACCCCAGUCCGUGCGGGUUGUGGGACGCAGAGUGCUCUCGGUCUCUAGUAGCAACAACCAGUACACUCUAACAUUCCUUUCCCUUCCCAGCUGACUAUAAGGACUUGGCCGGCGCCGUUAUUGAUCAAAUAUGCAUGAGCUGCUAAAAUUGCACUUUGAGAAUACGUGGAAUGUCCCAGCCCCUUAUUCAGUUGGAUCACAGUGCAACUGGUACCAGUUCAGAUCAAUCACGGAGGAGCAACCAUUGACAUGUAUAGUCAGAAUUGAUCGUUUUUUUUAUCGGUAUUGGUAUACAAGAAACCAAUGAUUUGAUGCAGAAAAAUAUAAAUAAUCGUGGCUCGAAAGCUGUAUGGACUAUUGCUGACGAAAUUCAUUGGAUGUGUUUUGAUGGCGUGAAAUGUCUAAUGGUUUUUUUAAAUAAAACUGAAUCUACUCAAAAAAUUUUUAUUUGUGAUCAUAGAAUCACAACUAUAGUUCCAUAACCUAUAUGGUUUUCAGUGUUUUAUCCAUCAAAAAUUAUUUUAUUUUAGGCUUAUUAUGAGGAGUUAGCCUUAUGACUGUUAAUUUCCGACUACUGCGAAGGAAGACUGCUAAUAAUUCCAAAAAUAAUCCAGGUUUCGAUAUGAAUUAAGUUGGGCCACUUAAAUUGGGGAAUUAUAGAUCCAAAAAACGAUCCCAGGAAAUAUUUUUUCAUGAAAAAAUACUUUGAGUAAAAUUAUAUUUUGAAUAUAGCGUGAUUGGACAAUAAGACUAUAAGCCGAUUAUGGUCUUGUGAACCAUAUUUGUCAAGAGUUUAAUGUCGUAACUUGUUUUGAGCAUAUCUUUGAUGAAUAUCAGUUUGUUUCUUGUGGGAAUAUCAACCCGUAAGCUGCGAAAUUUGCAAAUGUUGACGAUCAUUGGUUUGUGCAGCAUAAAAUGGCAUGAAUUUCACAAUCAGGUCAAAAUUUCAUCUUGAAGAAAUAAAAACUGAAUUUUUCAUAUUUUUCCUACAAAAUACAAUAAAUAAGCUUAAUUUGCUGCUUACACAUUUUUUUCUAGGUUAAACCGUUUUUGAUCUGCAUCCGGUUGAAAGUGUACCGAUUCUAAAGUGCGCAGGCUUUAGAAACUCCAUGGAGGCAACAAAUCAUUGAACAGUCCUUCUAAAGCCUGCACAUCGUUACUCUUUGUACCUAGACUAACUUUUCACUAUUUCGUUCCAAUGACUAGUUCGAUCAGAUGAUAUUAAUCAAAAAAUAAUCUGAAACCAGUACUAAAAAUAGUUUUGUAAAUAUUUCAGAGAAAUUUCAUACGGGGUACUGGUUUACGGAGAUAUGUCGUACAAUCGAGACUGUCCAACCAGAAACUUCUCAGAUUUCGGUGGUGAGCACCGAUAAUCAAAAGGAUCACGUUAACCGUUAACGUUAAAGUGGUUAAAGCUUUAGAAUUUAGCGCGUUAACUUUAAAUCGUUAAUACUCCAUAGAAAUUUUGUAGCGUGAUAAGUAUGAGAAUUAUUGUUUUGGUAUAAUUGUUAAGAAACAAAUAGCAAAACCCAAAAGAAUUUGGAUUGUACCCUAAUGAGUACAUGUAAAAAUAAGAGUGUACGUGGACCCAAACGAUACAAUCACGCACAAGAAAAUAAGGUGCCAUCAAGAUACCUGUCAUUGUCCGUCGCUUUCCCCAAAACUGCGAGUCCACUUCCGUUCAUGGAGAGAAGAGCAGCCGUUCAUUGCUGCAGCUCGGCGAAAGGCUGAAUUUACCACACAGCAUCAUUUCCCGGCAUCACCCACCAGGCACAAGCAGCCUGACAGUUUUAAUCAAGGAAGACCCUGAGCAUAAACCACACUACCAUCCAGCGGGCUACAAGAAGUCGGCAAGGAAGCGUGCCGAGAAAUACAAGAUUGCAGAGCGAUCGCUCUCCCAGCGUGCCCCCAGCUAUCAUACCGAUUCAUUGUGAGAAGUAUCACCUCUCGGAGUACGGCGUGGACAGCGGUAGACGAUCACACCGGGCUCUCAUCAUAGCAGAGCGAAUUCGGGCACAGAAGCGGUAAAGGCGGAUCACCGGACAAAAGAGCAGACAACGGCUUCACGACGCACGUGGUUGCGGCGGGCAGACCAAGAGCCGAUACCAACGGUGGCGGACACCAGGCUCGAGCAGAAAAGGCCUUCUCAACGAAGGCCUUUUUUCUUUCGUUGCUCUCAUCACUACUCGCCAGGAUCGACCUUCUGCAAUAGCCGUAGUGCACCCUCGGUUAAGCGGCCACGAAACGUCGAUGGGAAGCACGAAUCGCCGGUAGAUUAGGGCAGUCACACGCACUGUAAGUCAACACGGGGAUUGCUGGGCGAUACCGGAGGAGACGAGGCGGGAGUCUCCAUGGCGGCAGCAGACGGACGAUGGCAGAAGUGCAGUUACCGUGAGUCCAUGUAGCCAACAAUAGUUUUAAGUAACAUGUAUUACGGGAAUGCUUAGGAGAGUCAGAGCCUAGCUAGUACAGAUGUUGGAAUACAAACUAGUGUGUUAAGAUGAA